CUACGGAGGACGCGAGCGUUAUCCGGAUUCAUUGGGUUUAAAGGGUGCGCAGGCGGCCGUGCAAGUCAGCGGUGAAAGCCCGGGGCUCAACCCCGGAAGUGCCGUUGAUACUGCAUGGCUGGAAUGCGGUCGAGGCGGGCGGGAAGGGGCGGGGAGCGGUGAAAUGCGUAGAUAUGCCCCAGAAAGCCGAUAGCGGAGGCAGCUCGCCUGGCCUGCAUUGACGCUCGGGCACGAAAGCGUGGGGAUCGAACAGGAUUAGAUACCCUGGUAGUCCACGCCGUAAACGAUGGGCGCUCGUCGUCGGCGGCAGACAGUCGGCGGCCAAGCGAAAGCGAUAAGCGCCCCACCUGGGGAGUACGGUCGCAAGGCUGAAACUCAAAUGAAUUGACGGGG
rnacentral:rRNA from 1 species